UUUGUCAUGACCCUGAUCAAAUGUCUUUCUGGCAAAUCAAGGUCACUGACAAAGAAAAAAAUGUUUAAGCAUAACUUAAUAAUUAAAAUUUACUGGAGGCUCAUGCUGGGAAGAAAUGUUGUUGACAUAAGAAAGUGCAGUGACCUUGACCCAAGGUCUGUACUUCCUGCCCACAGCUCCAACGGAAGACCUACUCGUUGCUUUGCAACGAGCUCGGCUCUAGUUAAGGUCUUCCGUUUCCAACGGAAGACCUUCUACUGAUUCUGAAGAUUAAGAUUAUUAAGGUCUUCCGUUUCCAACGGAAGACCUUCUACUGAUUCUGAUGAUUAAGAUUAUUAGGGUCUUCCGCUUCCUUCGGAAGACCCUACUGUUAUUCUACUGUUUCUUAUUAUUAUUUUAUUUUUUUUCCCGCUCGAUUUUUGACAGGCGAUUUCUCAAAGACCUUUGGACUGAUUUUUAUGAAACUUUCAGGUUAGAUACCUUGUAAUUAAACCUAUUUACACCUGUUUUCAAUUUUUUGAUGCAUGCCUUUAAUUGUGAGUUAUUGCCCUUUAAUUGAUAAUUUUGAUGUCUCGUUUCCACUAAAAAUCUCAAGAACGACGUAAGAUAUUUACACGAAAGUUGGAGAACUUGUAGCCAAUACAUUGUAGAUGUGCACAACGAUAAAAUUAUAAGCUGAUUUUCUAAAGUUUGGAAGCUAUAAAACGGCAAAUUUUAGUAAUUUUUUUUCUUGAAUUUUUGCUACUUUUUGUGUAAUAACUUUUGAACCGAGAAUAAUUUGGUAAGAAAUAUAUAACAAAAGUUGUGUGUAAUUACGAGAGCUUUCAUAUUAGAUUAAUGAAAAGGGGCUGGCCCCUAUAAUUAGGGGUUAAUAGCUCAUACACGUUUUUUUCUGAUAGCUAAAAAUAUUGGUAUAUUAUGAAAAAGUUUGACUGAAAUAAUUUCGAACUUAUAAAAUCUUGUCAUUUGAUAUAAAAAGAAAUAAACUUCCAGCUAUAUUUAAUUGUUUUUUAUAUAAAACAAGUACAUGUAUGUGAGAAACCUUUCAGGAACAAGUUAUCUACUAUAGCCAGCCAAGCCUUUACUGCAUACAUGUGCACAUUUUUAGUUGAUGCAUCUAAAAGAUAUAGUUUUGAUUCGGUGUUUCUUUGUUUUCUUUUUAUUCAAAUAAUUUUAAAAUGUGAUGAUGUACACAACAAUAAUUAGUACCUAGUUUAGAGGAUUUUUUCGCGCUUGUUUGUAAACAACGCGCGGCAUUGUGGGAAAUAGGAAGGUACUAAAGACGCGAUGUACUAAACACUUAUUUGACCUGAUUCAAAUUUGUCUGUAAAUGUUCCAAACAAUUGAAUUUUUGUAUAGCAUAUGCCUCGAAGUCAUAAAGUCUGUACAUAAGUAAUUUAAAAUACUCAAUAUUACCAUUUAAUUAAAAAUUAAAACGUCAGGUAAAUAUCAGGUCUCUAGUAUAUCCCUGUUUUAGUGUGCCCCUUCGAGUCGACGUCGGACACAUUGUCAUGGUUUACAAACUGAAAAUAGAAUGAUUUGUGAAGUUGAACAUUUUCUCACAAAGAAUCCGUUUGUAGACAUGCACACUCAUUUAAUCUGGAGCUACGAAGUACUUUGUCACUUCUCUGGAACAUUAUUCUAAGCAGAAUUAUCCCGAUUCAUAUAUUCUAAGAAUCUUGUGUGAAUUGUUUACGAGGAAAUUCUGACUGUCACAUUAACAAGGAUGAACACUCUUGACUCUGCUUCGGAUUCCCCAGUGAUAAUUGUAUCGAGUGAUGAAAGAGCUGACGGCGACAUUUUAAUGUAUGAUUGGCUUGGACCAUUGGAAUGAAGUCAUUUCAUGGUGCCACCACUUGGGAUGGUAUUAGCUGCAAAUAUAGACUUGUACUCAGCACUUAUUGCCUUUAAGAAGUAUGAGAUCCAUUUUGUGCUAACACCUACCGUGACACAGAAUCUUGGUUUAUGCAGUCUCAUAGGAGUAACCUGUCUAAAGCAUUUAGCAAUGGGAUUGGAACCUGCGACGUGUGACUCAUCUGAAUACUGAAUUUUGAUACCAAACAUGACCAUGAUUUGCCAGAAGAUCAACUGUUUGGAUGUGACAUGGAAUAAACAGCAUAGUGAAAAUAAGUCAAGUUUUGGUUUGUGAAGACAAUUUUUAAACACACUGUGUAUCAUUUUUAAAUUUUGAUUUGACAACAUAAAUCCACAAAUAUGAACAUAUCAAUUGCUCUCAGUCUUUCAAGUGAAAUAGUUUUUGUAACAGAAAUACAUGUACCAGUAAUUACAUUGGAAUAAAUGUUAUUUUUAAAUAUAAUAAUAUUUUGUUUGUGUAGCAUGUUGACCUCUUUAUUAAGGUCUUCCCUUUCAAAGUUUAGACUUACUUAUUCUAAUGAUUAAGAUAGAUCCUCUGUCUUCAGCAGGAAUAUAAGAUCUUGUAAUACAUGUAUGUGUAUUUUUUACAGUAUAAUGUAAAAAAAAUUGUUAUUUUGGCACAUACAACUAAUUAAAGGCAUAAACAUGUGUAUGAUUCCAAGGAAUUCAGUACAUAGGGCAUGUACAUGUAGUUUUCUAAAACAAGAUUGAAGAGAUGUCCAGUCGCAUUUCAAUGUCAACUCCAAAACUGUGCCUUUUGCAUACUUAUUAGCCCAUCUGAGCUAAAGGAACCAGUAAAUUUUUUAAAAACAUAAUUUUAUCCAUUAUCAUCAUUGUCUGAAAUUUCACAAUAUCAUUUUCCAGAACCAAAGUGAAACUUGGCACAGAGCAUCCUUAGUGUAGGGGAUUCAAAUUGUUCUUAUGCAGGGCAAUACCUUCAAAGAGAUUUGUUUCUUUAAUGCUGUAAAUGUAUUAUAUUUAGCUUGUACAAUAUUUGGUGGAAAUUGACUUUUGAAUAAGUUAGCGUAGAUAUUCUUAUUUAUGUUUAUGUACAAGACUUUUAGCUUUGUACUUGAUUUAGUGAUGGCUGCAUUCCGCCAAAGCCGCUAAAAAAGAAUACACAGCCAUAUGUAAUAUGUUCACAAUAUACCUUUCAGAGAAUUUUACACUCCUAUUGAGGUACCACCAGUUGCUGGUGGAAAGCUUCAAAUUCGAAACAUACACAACACAUUUCUGUGCGUUUAUUAUAAAAGUAUUGUUCUACUUACUGAUUGCAACUAAUGAAGAUUGUUCAUCAUUAUUGUAAAUACAUUUGGAUUUUUUGAAUUAUUAUAUAAUUUGUUUAUUUUAUUUACCUAGUUAUAUUGUAUAUUAAAUGAUUUUAAAGCCAUUUUUAAGAUGGUAAUGUAGCAAAACACUUAUGUUUCUGUAGUAUGACACGUUUCACAAACAUAAUUGCAACAAACAUGAUAUAUCCGAUAUCAAAAGUCAUAAUAUUGGAAGUUAAACUGUUGUGGAUACGAUUUCAAGAAUGCUGUUAGAGAGAGUACCCUUUAGACCUCAUGCUCACACCAAAUUAAAGAAUUCAAGUAAGGGUUUUUGAGACAAAUCGAAAAAGAGAAUGUUAGCAAAGUUGACAAUCUAGACAGAAACAUUGAAUCAUUUGCUUAUCGCUAGGAAGGAAGACCCACUCAUUGCUUUGCAACGAGCUUUGCUCUAGUUAGGGUCUUCCGCUUCCUUCGGAAGACCCUACUGUUAUUCUAUUGUUUCUUAUUAUUCUUUUUUUUUUUCCCGCUCGACUUUUGACAGGCGAUUUCUCAAAGACCUUUGGACUGAUCGUUAUGAAACUUUCAGGAUAGAUAGCUUGUAGUUAAACCUAUUUAAACCUGUUUUCAGUUUUUUUAUGCAUGCCUUUAAUUAUGAGUUAUUGCCCUUUAAUUGAAAAUUUUUGAUGUCUCGUUUCCACUGAAAAUCUCAAAAAUGACAUAAGAUAUUUACACGAAAGUUGGAGAACUUGUAGCCAAUACAUUGUAGAUGUGCACAACGAUAAAAUUAUAUAGCUGAUUUCUUAAAGUUUGGAAGCUAUAAAACGGCAAAUUUUAGUAAUUUUUUUUCUUUGAAUUUUUGCUACUUUUUGUGUAAUAACUUUUAAACCGAGAAUAAUUUGGUAAGAAAUAUAUCACAAAAGUUGUGGGUAAUUACGAGAGCUUUCAUAUUUGAUUAACGAAAAGGGGCUGGCCCCUAUAAUUAGGGGUUAAUAGCUCAUACACGCUUUUUUUCUGAUAGCUAAAAAUAUUGGUAUAUUAUGAAAAAGUUUGACUGAAAUAAUUUCGAACUUAUAAAAUCUUGUCAUUUGAUAUAAAAAGAAAUAAACUUCAAGCUAUAUUUAAUUG